UAGCGUAGGGGGCUAGCGUUGUCCGGAAUCAUUGGGCGUAAAGCGCGUGUAGGCGGUUCGGUAAGUCCGCUGUGAAAGUCGGGGGCUCAACCCUCGAAUGCCGGUGGAUACUGUCGGGCUAGAGUGCGGAAGAGGCGAGUGGAAUUCCUGGUGUAGCGGUGAAAUGCGCAGAUAUCAGGAGGAACACCUAUUGCGAAGGCAGCUCGCUGGGACGUAACUGACGCUGAGACGCGAAAGCGUGGGGAGCAAACAGG
rnacentral:rRNA from 1 species